GGAGGUUACUGCUAUCGGUGUUCGCCUAACCCAUGCGAGUCAUAUGUUCUUCGUGAACAUGGCGUACUGCUCAGUAACACGUGAAUAACCUGCCCUUGGGACCGGCAUAACCCCGGGAAACUGGGGAUAAUUCCGGAUACUGCAUAUAUGCUGGAAUACUUUAUGCAUAAAAUGGAUUCGUCUGCCCAAGGAUGGGUCUGCGGCCUAUCAGGUAGUAGUGGGUGUAAUGUACCUACUACCCAACGACGGGUACGGGUUGUGAAAGCAAAAGCCCGGAAAUGGAUUCUGAAACAUGAAUCCAGGCCCUACGGGGCGCACCAGGCGCAAAAACUUUACAAUGCGGAAAACCGUGAUAAGGGGACACCGAGUGCCAGCAUCAUAUGCUGGCUGUCCGGGUGUGUAAACUACACCUGUUAGCAAGGGCCGGGCAAAACCGGUGC
rnacentral:rRNA from 1 species